rnacentral:rRNA from 1 species
AUCAUUUAGAGGAAGGAGAAGUCGUAACAAGGUUUCCGUAGGUGAACCUGCGGAAGGAUCAUUGUCGAAACCUGCCCGGCAGAGAGACCCGCGAAC